rnacentral:rRNA from 1 species
AUUCCAGCUCCAAUAGCGUAUAUUAAAGUUGUUGCGGUUAAAAAGCUCGUAGUUGGAGUUCUGCCAGGUGCCACCUGUCCGCCCCAGUGGUGAGUACGUGGUGCGCAUUUGGCCCUUUCAAGGGGAGCGUAUUUGCACUUAAUUGUGUGGUGCGGGAUCCUUGACUUUUACUUUGAGGAAAUAAGAGUGUUCCAAGCAGGCUCUCGUCGUGCAUAGCUCAGCAUGGAAUAAUAGCAUUGGACCUCGAUUCUAAGCUGUUGGUUGCCAGAAGCGAGGUAAUGAUGAAGAGGGAUAGUUGGGGGCAUUAGUACUUUGCUGUCAGAGGUGAGAUUCUCGGAUUUGCAAAAGACUAACUUAUGCGAAAGCAUUUGCCAAGGAUGUUUUCAUCA